GGGUGAUUAGCUCAGCUGGCUAGAGCACCGUGUUCACAUCGCGGGGGUCACUGGUUCAAGUCCAGUAUCACCCACCA
rnacentral:tRNA from 1 species